UACGUAGGGUGCAAGCGUUGUCCGGAAUUAUUGGGCGUAAAGAGCUCGUAGGCGGUUUGUCGCGUCGAAUGUGAAAACCCGGGGCUCAACCCCGGGCCUGCAUUCGAUACGGGCAGACUAGAGUUCGGUAGGGGAGUCUGGAAUUCCUGGUGUAGCGGUGAAAUGCGCAGAUAUCAGGAGGAACACCGGUGGCGAAGGCGGUACUCUGGGCCGAUACUGACGCUGAGGAGCGAAAGCGUGGGGAGCAAACAGG
rnacentral:rRNA from 1 species